rnacentral:rRNA from 1 species
UACAGAGGGUGCGAGCGUUAAUCGGAAUUACUGGGCGUAAAGCGUGCGUAGACGGUUAUUUAAGUCGGGUGUGAAAGCCCCGGGCUCAACCUGGGAAUCGCAUUCGAGACUGAAUAGCUAGGGUACGGUAGAGGGAAGUGGAAUUUCCGGUGUAGCGGUGAAAUGCGUAGAGUAUCGGAAGGAACAUCUGUGGCGAAAGGCG